GAUGAACGCUAGCUACAGGCUUAACACAUGCAAGUCGAGGGGAAACGAUGAGAGAGCUUGCUCUCUUAGUCGUCGACCGGCGCACGGGUGAGUAACGCGUAUCCAACCUGCCUCUGACCAAGGGAUAACCCGUCGAAAGUCUGACUAAUACCUUAUGCAUUCGUCGGAAGUCAUCUGAUGACGACGAAAGAUUUCAUCGGUGAGAGAUGGGGAUGCGUCUGAUUAGCUUGUUGGCGGGGUAACGGCCCACCAAGGCGACGAUCAGUAGGGGUUCUGAGAGGAAGGUCCACCACAAGGGAACGGAGAAACGGUCCAAACACCUACGGGAGGCAGCAGUGAGGAAUAGUGAACAAUGGGAGUAAGCCUGAACCAGCCAAGUAGCGUGCAGGAAGACGGCGAUAGGGGUUGUAAACUGCUUUUAUGAGGGGAAAAAGUGAGGGACGGGACAUUCAUUGAAGGUACCGGAUGAAUAAGGACCGGCUAAUUACGUG
rnacentral:rRNA from 1 species